AGAGUUUGAUCCUGGCUCAGGAUGAACGCUAGCGACAGGCUUAACACAUGCAAGUCGAGGGGCAGCACAGGUAGCAAUACCGGGUGGCGACCGGCGCACGGGUGAGUAACGCGUAUGCAACUUGCCUAUCAGAGGGGGAUAACCCGGCGAAAGUCGGACUAAUACCGCAUGAAGCAGGGGCCCCGCAUGGGGAUAUUUGCUAAAGAUUCAUCGCUGAUAGAUAGGCAUGCGUUCCAUUAGGCAGUUGGCGGGGUAACGGCCCACCAAACCGACGAUGGAUAGGGGUUCUGAGAGGAAGGUCCCCCACAUUGGUACUGAGACACGGACCAAACUCCUACGGGAGGCAGCAGUGAGGAAUAUUGGUCAAUGGGCGUAAGCCUGAACCAGCCAAGUCGCGUGAGGGAUGAAGGUUCUAUGGAUCGUAAACCUCUUUUAUAAGGGAAUAAAGUGCGGGACGUGUCCCGUUUUGUAUGUACCUUAUGAAUAAGGAUCGGCUAACUCCGUGCCAGCAGCCGCGGUAAUACGGAGGAUCCGAGCGUUAUCCGGAUUUAUUGGGUUUAAAGGGUGCGUAGGCGGCCUUUUAAGUCAGCGGUGAAAGUCUGUGGCUCAACCAUAGAAUUGCCGUUGAAACUGGGAGGCUUGAGUAUGUUUGAGGCAGGCGGAAUGCGUGGUGUAGCGGUGAAAUGCUUAGAUAUCACGCAGAACCCCGAUUGCGAAGGCAGCCUGCCAAGCCAUGACUGACGCUGAUGCACGAAAGCGUGGGGAUCAAACAGGAUUAGAUACCCUGGUAGUCCACGCAGUAAACGAUGAUCACUAGCUGUUUGCGAUACAGUGUAAGCGGCACAGCGAAAGCGUUAAGUGAUCCACCUGGGGAGUACGCCGGCAACGGUGAAACUCAAAGGAAUUGACGGGGGCCCGCACAAGCGGAGGAACAUGUGGUUUAAUUCGAUGAUACGCGAGGAACCUUACCCGGGCUUAAAUUGCAGUGGAAUGAUGUGGAAACAUGUCAGUGAGCAAUCACCGCUGUGAAGGUGCUGCAUGGUUGUCGUCAGCUCGUGCCGUGAGGUGUCGGCUUAAGUGCCAUAACGAGCGCAACCCUUGCCACUAGUUACUAACAGGUAAAGCUGAGGACUCUGGUGGGACUGCCAGCGUAAGCUGCGAGGAAGGCGGGGAUGACGUCAAAUCAGCACGGCCCUUACAUCCGGGGCGACACACGUGUUACAAUGGCGUGGACAAAGGGAUGCCACCUGGCGACAGGGAGCGAAUCCCCAAACCACGUCUCAGUUCGGAUCGGAGUCUGCAACCCGACUCCGUGAAGCUGGAUUCGCUAGUAAUCGCGCAUCAGCCAUGGCGCGGUGAAUACGUUCCCGGGCCUUGUACACACCGCCCGUCAAGCCAUGGGAGCCGGGGGUACCUGAAGUACGUAACCGCAAGGAUCGUCCUAGGGUAAAACUGGUGACUGGGGCUAAGUCGUAACAAGGUAGCCGUACCGGAAGGUGCGGCUG
rnacentral:rRNA from 1 species